UCCGGAUUGGUGUAGGGGUUAACAUUGCCGCCUCUCAAAAUUGCUUACGUAAUCAACUUGCCUUACGUAAAGUUAACGCGGCAGCCCGGGGUUCGAUUCCCCGAUCCGGAA